UACGUAGGGUGCGAGCGUUAAUCGGAAUUACUGGGCGUAAAGCGUGCGCAGGCGGUUUUGUAAGCCAGAUGUGAAAGCCCCGGGCUUAACCUGGGAAUGGCAUUUGGGACUGCAAGGCUUGAGUGCGGCAGAGGAGACUGGAAUUCCUGGUGUAGCAGUGAAAUGCGUAGAUAUCAGGAAGAACACCCGUGGCGAAGGCGGCUCUCUGGGACGGUACUGACGCUGAGACGCGAAAGCGUGGGGAGCGAACAGG
rnacentral:rRNA from 1 species